AGCAGUAGCCGCGGGAAUACGUAGGGUGCGAGCGUUAAUCGGAAUUACUGGGCGUAAAGCGUGCGCAGGCGGUUCGUUAAGUCAGAUGUGAAAUCCCCGAGCUUAACUCGGGAACUGCAUUUGAAACUGGCAGGCUAGAGUCUCGUAGAGGGGGGUAGAAUUCCAGGUGUAGCGGUGAAAUGCGUAGAGAUCUGGAGGAAUACCGGUGGCGAAGGCGGCCCCCUGGACGAAGACUGACGCUCAGGUACGAAAGCGUGGGGAGCAAACAGGAUUAGAUACCCCUGUAGUCCCUGUCUCUUAUAC
rnacentral:rRNA from 1 species